GCCGGUCCCGGUGGCAUGUACCUGUAGUCCCAGCCACUCGGGAGGCUGAGGUGGGAGGAUCGCUUGAGCCCAGGAGUUCUGGGCUAUAGUGCGCUAUGCCGAUUGAGUGUCUGUACUAAUUCAGCAUCAAUAUGGUGACCUCCGGGGAGCGGGGGAUCACCAGCUUGCCUAAGGAGGGGUGAACCGGCCCAGGUCGGAAAUGGAGCAGGUCAGUAGUAGGAUCACGACUGUGAAUAGCCACUGCACUCCAGCCUGGGCAACAUAGUGAGACCCCGUCUCU
rnacentral:SRP_RNA from 1 species